ACAUGUCUCUUUGUUUUUUACAUAUAAGGAGUCGGGCCUGCUCACUGAUAUAAAUANUUUAACAGCUGCAGUGUAAUAACUGUACUAAGGUAGCAUAAUAAUUUGCCUUAUAAAUUAAGGCUAGAAUGANUGGUUUGACGAAAGUUGAUCUGUCUCUUAUUUAUUUAUUAGAAAUUAAUUUUUAUAGUGAAAAAGCUUUNAUUAAUUAAAGGGACGAGAAGACCCUAUUGAACUUUUAUUAGAUAUAUAUCAAAUUAAUUUGAGAUUAUAUAGGAAUAAUUUUGAUUGGGGUGAUCGAGGAAUAAAUAAAAUCAUUAAUAACUUCCUUAAUUGUACAUUAAAAUUGAUGAAUUAAUUAACCAAUAUUUUGCUUUCAUGAAUAAGUUACCAUAGGGAUAACAGCGUAAUUUUUUUAGAGAGUUCUUAUUAAUAAACAAGAUUGCGACCUCGAUGUUGGAUUAAAAUUACCUUAAGGUGAAGAAGCUUUAAUAGGUGAAUCUGUUCGAUUUUUAAAAUUUUAC
rnacentral:rRNA from 1 species